rnacentral:rRNA from 1 species
UACGUAGGGUGCAAGCGUUGUCCGGAAUUAUUGGGCGUAAAGAGCUCGUAGGCGGUUCGUCGCGUCGGCUGUGAAAUCCCGAGGCUCAACCUCGGGUCUGCAGUCGAUACGGGCGGACUGGAGUUCGGCAGGGGAGACUGGAAUUCCUGGUGUAGCGGUGAAAUGCGCAGAUAUCAGGAGGAACACCGGUGGCGAAGGCGGGUCUCUGGGCCGAUACUGACGCUGAGGCACGAAGGCCAGGGGAGCAAACGGG